ACUGAACGCUGGCGGCAUGCCUUACACAUGCAAGUCGAACGGUAACAGGUCUUCGGAUGCUGACGAGUGGCGAACGGGUGAGUAAUACAUCGGAACGUGCCUAGUAGUGGGGGAUAACUACUCGAAAGAGUGGCUAAUACCGCAUGAGAUCUACGGAUGAAAGAAGGGGAUCGCAAGACCUUGUGCUACUAGAGCGGCCGAUGGCAGAUUAGGUAGUUGGUGGGAUAAAAGCUUACCAAGACGACGAUCUGUAGCUGGUCUGAGAGGACGAUCAGCCACACUGGGACUGAGACACGGCCCAGACUCCUACGGGAGGCAGCAGUGGGGAAUUUUGGACAAUGGGCGCAAGCCUGAUCCAGCAAUGCCGCGUGCAGGAUGAAGGCCUUCGGGUUGUAAACUGCUUUUGUACGGAACGAAAAGCCCUGGGUUAAUACCCUGGGGUCAUGACGGUACCGUAAGAAUAAGCACCGGCUAACUACGUGCCAGCAGCCGCGGUAA
rnacentral:rRNA from 1 species